rnacentral:rRNA from 1 species
AGUGAACGCUGGCGGUAGGCCUAACACAUGCAAGUCGAACGGCAGCACAGUAAGUGCUUGCUCUUACGGGUGGCGAGUGGCGGAUGGGUGCGGAGUACAUCGGAAUCUACUUUUUCGUGGGGGCUAACGUAGGGACACUUACGCUAAUACCGCAUACGACCUACGGGUGGAAGCCGGGGAUCUUCGGACCUUGCGCGAUUGAAUGAGCCGAUGUCGGAUUAGCUAGUUGGCGGGGUAAAGGCCCACCAAGGCGACGCUCCGUAGCUGGUCUGAGAGGAUGAUCAGCCACACUGGAACUGAGACACGGUCCAGACUCCUACGGGAGGCAGCAGUGGGGAAUAUUGGACAAUGGGCGAAAGCCUGAUCCAGCCAUACCGCGUGUGUGAAGAAGGCCUUCGGGUUGUAAAGCCCUUUUGUUUGGAAAGAAAAGCAGCAGGUUAAUACCCCGCUGUUCUGACGGUACCCAAAGAAUAAGCACCGGCUAACUUCGUG